rnacentral:rRNA from 1 species
UGGGGAAUUUUGGACAAUGGGCGCAAGCCUGAUCCAGCCAUGCCGCGUGCGGGAAGAAGGCCUUCGGGUUGUAAACCGCUUUUGUCAGGGAAGAAAUCUUCUGAGUUAAUACCUCGGGAGGAUGACGGUACCUGAAGAAUAAGCACCGGCUAACUACGUGCCAGCAGCCGCGGUAAUACGUAGGGUGCAAGCGUUAAUCGGAAUUACUGGGCGUAAAGCGUGCGCAGGCGGUUUUGUAAGACAGAGGUGAAAUCCCCGGGCUCAACCUGGGAACUGCCUUUGUGACUGCAAGGCUUGAGUGCGGCAGAGGGGGAUGGAAUUCCGCGUGUAGCAGUGAAAUGCGUAGAUAUGCGGAGGAACACCGAUGGCGAAGGCAAUCCCCUGGGCCUGCACUGACGCUUAUGCACGAAAGCGUGGGGAGCAAACAGGAUUUAGAUACCCUGGUAGUCCACGCCCUAAACGAUGUCAACUGGUUGUUGGGAAGGUUCCUUCUCAGUAACGUAGCUAACGCGUGAAGUUGGACCGCCUGGGGAGUACGGCCGCAAGG